rnacentral:rRNA from 1 species
AGCGUAGGCGGAUUUUUAAGUGAGAUGUGAAAUCCGUGGGCUCAACCCACGAACUGCAUUUGAAACUGUGGAUCUUGAGUAUCGGAGAGGUAAUCGGAAUUCCUAGUGUAGCGGUGAAAUGCGUAGAUAUUAGGAAGAACACCAGUGGCGAAGGCGGAUUACUGGACGACAACUGACGGUGAGGCGCGAAAGCGUGGGGAGCAAACA